UACGGAGGGUGCAAGCGUUAUCCGGAUUCACUGGGUUUAAAGGGUGCGUAGGCGGGUUAUUAAGUCAGUGGUGAAAGCCUACAGCUUAACUGUAGAACUGCCAUUGAUACUGAUGAUCUUGAGUACGAUUGAGGUAGGCGGAAUGUGUCAUGUAGCGGUGAAAUGCUUAGAUAUGACACAGAACACCGAUUGCGAAGGCAGCUUACUAAGUCGUAACUGACGCUGAUGCACGAAAGCGUGGGGAGCAAACAGG
rnacentral:rRNA from 1 species